rnacentral:snoRNA from 1 species
GCUUUACACUUGAUCUCUGAACUUCAGGCAAGUUCAAUGUUGACAAGCUAUUAAUUGAUGCA